rnacentral:rRNA from 1 species
AACUCCAAUUGUUCCCCGUUUUUACGGGGGUCUGAAUUGACUCUAACCAGGUCGAGUAAUAGGGGCGGAAAAUAUCGGUGCCAGCCGCCGCGGUAAUACCGAAGCCCCAAGUGGUCGUCGUUCUUAUUGGGCCUAAAACGUCCGUAGCCGGUUUGGUACAUUCGUGGGUAAAUCAGACAGCUUAACUGUCUGAAUUCUGCGAGCACGGCCAAACUUGAGACCGGGAGAGGUGUAGGGUACCUGCGGGGUAGGGGUAAAAUCCUGUCAUCCCGUAGGGACCACCAGUUGCGAAGGCUCUACACUAGAACGGAUCUGACGGUCAGGGACGAAGCCUAGGGGCACGAACCGGAUUAGAUACCCGGGUAGUCCUAGGUGUAAACGCUGUGGACUUUGUGUCGGGGAUUCUUCGAGGAUUCUCGGUGCCGGAGUGAAGAUGUUAAGUCCACUGCCUGGGGAGUACGGUCGCAAGGCUGAAACUUAAAGGAAUUGGCGGGGGAGCACUGCAACGAGAGGAGCGUGCGGUUUAAUUGGAUUCAACGCCGGAAAACUCACCAAAGCCGACUGUUAUAUGAAGACCAGCGUAACGAGCUUGUCGGAUUUUCAGAGAGGUAGUGCAUGGCCGUCGUCAGUUCGUACCGUAAGGCGUUCUGUUAAGUCAGAUAACGAACGAGACCCCCAUCGUCAUUUGCUAACCUAUUCUCCGGAAUAGGUGCACUAUGGCGAGACCGCUGGCGUGAAGUCAGAGGAAGGCGGGGGCAACGGUAGGUCAGUAUGCUCCGAAUGCUUUGGGCUACACGCGCGCUACAAAGGACGGGACAAUGGGCAGCUACUCCGAGAGGAGAUGCUAUCCCGAAACCCGUUCGUAGUUCGGAUCGUGGGCUGUAACUCGCCCUCGUGAAGCUGGAUUUCGUAGUAAUCGCGUCUCAAAAUGGCGCGGUGAAUAUGCCCCUGCUCCUUGCACACACCGCCCGUCAAACCAUCUUAGUUUGGGGUGGGUGAGGCUACCUUUUAUUGGGGUAUACGAGCC